AGAAAAAUUGGAUGCAAUUGCAAGUGCUGUGCGUUUGUGAGAGGAGAACUGUCCUUGAAACCUGGUUCAAACAUGAUUCACCCUCAAAGGAAUCAAAGUCCUAGUUCAGGAUAUGGUCACAGCCUUGCAAGCUGUCACUCACCUUCCUCAGGUCCAAUGAAACUGUAGUGCAAGGACUUAGAAAGUUUUGAAUUAAAUGACUUAGAAAACUGAUUAUAACAAGAUGGUAUAUACAAGACGGUAUCAUUGCACAUUAUACAGGAGCUAUGAAAGCAGAAUGGAAAUGGGUUCACCUUCAACAUAAGAGAUGAAAAUUUCAAGAAUGCAAGAUUUUUAAUAAACGAGUAAUCUCUCUCAA